CCUACGGGCGACAGCAGUGAGGAAUAUUGGUCAAUGGACGAGAGUCUGAACCAGCCAAGUAGCGUGAAGGAUGACUGCCCUAUGGGUUGUAAACUUCUUUUAUAUGGGAAUAAAAUGUUCCACGUGUGGGAUUUUGUAUGUACCAUAUGAAUAAGGAUCGGCUAACUCCGUGCCAGCAGCCGCGGUAAUACGGAGGAUCCGAGCGUUAUCCGGAUUUAUUGGGUUUAAAGGGAGCGUAGGUGGAUGGUUAAGUCAGUUGUGAAAGUUUGCGGCGCAACCGUAAAAUUGCAGUUGAAACUGGCAGUCUUGAGUACAGGAGAGGUGGGCGGAAUUCGUGGUGUAGCGGUGAAAUGCUUAGAUAUCACGAAGAACUCCGAUUGCGAAGGCAGUUCACUGGACUGCAACUGACACUGAGGCUCGAAAGUGUGGGUAUCAAACAGGAUUAGAGACCCCAGUAGUC
rnacentral:rRNA from 1 species